ACGUACAUGUGCAACCACCUGACUAGCCUAUUAUAAUUCCAUUGCAGCUGGCGAGGGCCAGGGGAAAUCUGAUCAACAAAAUGGACACCUGCAGUGGAUCUAAAUUAAUUCUCCAAACUACAGGUACAUGCGUAAUAUGCUAAACCGUGUGAGUAAACUAAGUCAGUGCUGCGUGAAUAAGUGAAUUAAACAUUUCCUAAACUAGUUAAUGGCUGAUGCUGACCCACACCUUUACAGUUGGACAGAACAAGGGAGAGCUCCACCAGCCCUCACGAGGACCGAGAAGAAUUUCACACUAAUCUAAUGUCCUCACCACAUCACUCAUUUGGGCAGCUCUACCUGACAUGUAGUAGCUACAUUUUCUCAUCCUGAUUCCAGACUUGUGGCAGAUGAAAACAACACUGAAUGCCGGAGGAGCCGACAAACUCCCGAAACACCUCCUGACUGCUGAUAAACACACUGAGG